UAGAGUUUGAUCCUGGCUCAGGACGAACGCUGGCGGCGUGCCUAACACAUGCAAGUCGAGCGAUGAAAUUCCUUCGGGAAUGGAUUAGCGGCGGACGGGUGAGUAACACGUGGGCAACCUGCCUCAAAGUGGGGGAUAGCCUCCCGAAAGGGAGAUUAAUACCGCAUAACAUUAUCUCUUUGCAUGAAGAGAUAAUCAAAGGAGCAAUCCGCUUUGAGAUGGGCCCGCGGCGCAUUAGCUAGUUGGUGAGGUAACGGCUCACCAAGGCGACGAUGCGUAGCCGACCUGAGAGGGUGAUCGGCCACAUUGGAACUGAGAUACGGUCCAGACUCCUACGGGAGGCAGCAGUGGGGAAUAUUGCGCAAUGGGGGAAACCCUGACGCAGCAACGCCGCGUGAGUGAUGAAGGUCUUCGGAUUGUAAAACUCUGUCUUUGGGGACGAUAAUGACGGUACCCAAGGAGGAAGCCACGGCUAACUACGUGCCAGCAGCCGCGGUAAUACGUAGGUGGCAAGCGUUGUCCGGAUUUACUGGGCGUAAAGAGUAUGUAGGCGGACAUUUAAGUCAGAUGUGAAAUCCCCGGGCUUAACCUGGGAGCUGCAUUUGAUACUGGGUGUCUAGAGUGUAGGAGAGGAAAGUGGAAUUCCUAGUGUAGCGGUGAAAUGCGUAGAGAUUAGGAAGAACACCAGUGGCGAAGGCGACUUUCUGGACUAUAACUGACGCUG
rnacentral:rRNA from 1 species